rnacentral:rRNA from 1 species
GCGUCGUGUGGCCAUGGAAGCGGCAGGGUGACCUAGCCGUGGAGGCCACACGAGUGAGAAUGCAGGCAUGAGUAGCGAAAGACGAGUGAGAAACUCGUCCGCCGAAUGACCAAGGGUUCCUGGGCCAGGUUAAUCCGCCCAGGGUGAGUCGGGACCUAAGACGAGGCCGACAGGCGUAGCCGAUGGACAACGGGUUGAUAUUCCCGUACCCGUGUGAACGCGCCCAUGGUGAAUCAGUGAUACUAACCAUCCUGAAGCCACGAGAAGACCUUCGGGUCUCGAGUUGGUGGAUGCAUGGGACCUGAUCUGGUAGUAGCCAAGCGAUGGGGUGACGCAGGAAGGUAGCUGAGCCAGUCAGUGGUAAUACUGGUGUAAGCGUGUAGGGCGUGACCUAGGCAAAUCCGGGUCGCAUACAAGCCUGAGACGUGAUGCGUAGCCGAUUGAGGCGAAUUCAGUGAUCCUAUGCUGCCGAGAAAAGCCUCUAGCGAGCUUUCACACGGCCCGUACCCCAAACCGACACAGGUGGUCAGGUAGAGAAUACUAAGGCGAUCGAGAUAACUAUGGUUAAGGAACUCGGCAAAAUGCCCCCGUAACUUCGGGAGAAGGGGGGCCCUGUCUGGUGACGACAUUUACUGUCUGAGCUGGGUGGGGCCGCAGAGACCAGUGAGAAGCGACUGUUUACUAAAAACACAGGUCCGUGCGAAGUCGUAAGACGAUGUAUACGGACUGACGCCUGCCCGGUGCUGGAAGGUUAAGAGGACCGGUUAGUUC